rnacentral:rRNA from 1 species
UACACAGGUCCCGAGCGUUGUUCGGAUUCACUGGGCGUAAAGGGUGCGUAGGUGGCAUGGUAAGUUUGAUGUGAAAGCUCAGGGCUCAACCCUGAAAUGGCAUUGAAUACUACUGUGCUGGAGGUUUGGAGGGGGGACUGGAAUUCUUGGUGUAGCAGUGAAAUGCGUAGAUAUCAAGAGGAACACCAGUGGCGAAGGCGAGUCCCUGGACAACACCUGACACUGAGGCACGAAAGCUAGGGGAGCAAACAGG